CUCUCUUGUCCCUCCUCAUUCUCUCUUAUCACUUGUGUGAUCACAGACGUGCAUCUAGACAACGCCACCCCAACCGCAUCCUCCUCUACCUCCCUCUCUCCUCCAGCGGUGGUUUCUCCCGGCGUUGUUCUCCUUCGCUUUGUCGAUGAUGUACCUGAAUGUACACACUCUUAUCAGUCUCUUCAUCGACCAAAAUGCGGGCUUUAAGAAUAAGAAGAGAGAUAAAACGGAAGGUACCUACUGUGGGCGGUAUAGGCUCAGCGUGAAAUGAAGACGAUGGUGGAGGUUGAGGCGGCGAAGGAAGUGAUAAGCUAAGAGACUGUGGCGGUGGUGGCGGAAGAGAUAACACUAUAGUAGUCGGGAUUUGAUGCAUCGGCUGAGCCAUCAUCGGAGCUACAAAUCCUAAACUUUGUUGGCAAACUCUUAGGAUCUGGCCACCGUUACCGUUUCCUACGGCGGCGGCGGCGGAGGAGGAGGAAGGAAGAGUUUUUCUGUCAACAAGCUCAGACAACACGUCGUAUAUCUGAGGCAACAUGUUACUCGGCAAGUUCUUCUCUUUCCUCUCAGUCUUGUCCAUCUUCCAGUAAGAGGAAGAAGUGACGGUGUUAAAAGACGAUUCUACCCUUGAUCUCUCGUACUCUCUGAUCUUCUUGUAAUCCCUCAUGAGAUUGUCCCACUUAUCGUUGCACUGAUUCUGGUUGCGGUAACAUCCUCUUCUCCAGCAAUACUCCUCUAUCCAUUUCCACCGGAGCUCUGCUGGUUUGUUUCUGCCUUCAGGUUGUUUUUCCGAUCGCCGUACACGCCUCUGGUCGUCCAUCUUCUUGGCUUCUAUGAGAACCAAAGUCUCACUCACUGUCCAAUUCCCUUUUCUGCACUCUCUCAUAACUAUCUGUUCACCACUCGAUGGAUCAGCGUCAGCCAUAUAUGUGUCUCUUUGGAUUUACCAAGAGGUAGCCAUACGUGUGUCUUUGAAUCUUGAAUUCAUGAACUAGAGAGAGAAAGAAAUAAGUGUUGGAGAAAGGGGAGAAGAAAGAGAUGAGCCAAAGACCGGUCAAAGUCUUUUGUUUUCUAGUACUAAGAUUGUCACCAAGUUCGAAAAGACAGUGAUUCCAAUAAUGAGAAAAUAUGAAAAACAAAGCAAGUUUUUUU
rnacentral:lncRNA from 1 species